AACGGAAACCUUCGGGUUUUAGUGGCGAACGGGUGAGUAACACGUAAGCAACCUACCCUAAAGACGAGGAUAACCAUUGGAAACAGUGGCUAAGACUGGAUAGGAAGAUAAAAGGCAUCUUUUAUCUUUUAAAAGACCUAGUAAUAGGUAUGCUUUAGGAGGGGCUUGCGCCAUAUUAGUUAGUUGGGAAGGGAAUGGGCCUACCAAAACAAUAAUGGGUAGCUGGACUGAGAGGUUGAACAGCCACAUUGGGACUGAGACACGGCCCAAACUCCUACGGGAGGCAGCAGGAGGGAAUUUUCGGCAAUGGAGGAAACUCUGACCGAGCAACGCCGCGUGAAUGACGAAGUACUUCGGUAUGUAAAGUUCUUUUAUCAAGGAAGAAAAGCAAAUGGCGAACCAUUUGUUUGCCGGUACUUGAUGAAUAAGCCCCGGCUAAUUAUGUGCCAGCAGCCGCGGUAAGACAUAAGGGGCAAGUGUUAUCCGGAAUUAUUGGGCGUAAAGGGUGCGUAGGCGGUCUAGUAAGUCAGUGGUGUAAUGGCAACGCUUAACGUUGUCCGGCUAUUGAAACUGCUAAACUUGAGUUAGAUAGAGGCGAGUGGAAUUCCAUGUGUAGCGGUAAAAUGCGUAAAUAUAUGGAGGAACACCAGAGGCGUAGGCGGCUCGCUGGGUCUUAACUGACGCUGAGGCACGAAAGCGUGGGGAGCAAACAGGAUUAGAUACCCUGGUAGUCCACGCCGUAAACGAUGAGUACUAAGUGUCGGGUUAAACCGGUACUGAAGUUAACACAUUAAGUACUCCGCCUGAGUAGUACGUACGCAAGUAUGAAACUUAAAGGAAUUGACGGGACUCCGCACAAGCGGUGGAUCAUGUUGUUUAAUUCGAAGAUACCCGAAAAACCUUACCAGGUCUUGACAUGUUUUUGCAAAAUGAUAGUAAUAUCGUGGAGGUUACCAGAAACACAGGUGGUGCAUGGUUGUCGUCAGCUCGUGUCGUGAGAUGUUAGGUUAAGUCCUAAAACGAGCGAAACCCUUAUCGUUAGUUGCCAGCACGUUAUGGUGGGGACUUUAACGAGACUGCCAAUGAUAAAUUGGAGGAAGGUGAGGAUCACGUCAAAUCAGCAUGCCCCUUAUGACCUGGGCUACAAACGUGAUACAAUGGCUGUUACAAAGGGUAGCUGAAACGCAAGUUCUUGGCCAAUCCCCAAAAACAGUCCCAGUCCGGAUUGAAGUCUGCAACUCGACUUCAUGAAGUUGGAAUCGCUAGUAAUCGCGAAUCAGCAUGUCGCGGUGAAUACGUUCUCGGGGUUUGUACACACCGCCCGUCAAACCACGAAAGUUGGCAAUACCCCAAAACGGUAGCCUAACUCGUUUAUUCGAGA
rnacentral:rRNA from 1 species